GCGGCGAGCGAACGCGGAUUAGCCCAAACCAAUAAAGUUUUCUUUAUUGGGGUUGCGGACAUAUCAUAACGAAGAGGUAUCGUAAUUGAAGAGGUUUGGAAAGACCUACCACAGAAGGUAAUAGUCCUGUAUGUUAAACGAGAAGACUUUAGAUAUGAUCCAGAGUACCACGGGACACGUGAAACCCUGUGGGAAGCAGGAGGGACCACCCUC
rnacentral:rRNA from 1 species